rnacentral:rRNA from 1 species
GUUCGCCCCAUUUGUCUACUAGACGGGGCAGGUAAAGGUUUAGAACGCAUCAUAGUGCAACGGUUAAAUGCACACAUCGAGGAGGUCAACGGACUGUCUGACGACCAAUUUGGUUUCAGAAGUCGUCGAUCAACAGUUGAUGCGAUUCAACGGGUAGUGGACAUUGUUUCGGUAGCUAGAAGUAGAAACAGAUACAGUGGACGGUAUUGUGCAGUUGUUACAUUAGAUGUUACUAAUGCUUUUAACAGUGCUUCGUGGUUGGCGAUUGCAAAUGCAUUACAGAGAAUUAACACUCCUAAAUAUCUUUAUGAUAUCAUUGGUGAUUAUUUUAGGAAUCGUGUGCUGAUGUAUGAUACCACAGAUGGACCGGCAGAGAUUGCAGUCACAUCGGGUGUACCUCAAGGCUCGGUACUUGGCCCAACGUUAUGGAACCUCAUGUACGACGGUGUCCUACGAGUUGCAAUGGUGGAAGGUGCACGGAUUAUCGGCUAUGCAGACGAUAUAGUGUUGUUGGUGGAAGGUAAUUGUGUUGAUGAUAUUGAAAUUCUCGUUUCCAGCCAGAUUCGCAUCAUCGACAGAUGGAUGACCGACAACGGAUUAAAGAUAGCCCCGACCAAGACCGAGUUUAUUAUGGUCAGUUCCCAUCAGAGGAUACAGCAUGGGGCUAUCAGGGUAGGUGAUCACGUAGUACAUUCGUCGCGCAGCUUAAAGUAUUUGGGGAUGGUCUUAGAUGACCGCCUCGAAUACACUUCACACAUCAGGUAUGCGGUGGAGAGAGCGACGAAGCUAUGGACCACCUUGGUAAGGAUGAUGCCUAAUAAGGCAGGUCCGAGUAGUAAUGUUAGGCGAGCAAUUGCUCUUACUGUUGUGGCGAAGGUCCGGUAUGCCUCGCCCAUUUGGUGUCAUACCCUUAGAUUUGCUAACCGUAGACAAUGGCUACGUCGGUUUUACCGGCCAGUAGUCCAGCGAGUUAUCUCUUCUUUCAGGACAACUUCUCACGAUGCAGUCUGCGUGCUUGCGGGAAUGAUCCCGCUGCAUCUCCUCCUGGACGAGGACUCCAGGACUUUUCAUCGGAGACGAGCAGAGAACAUCGCCGGAUCGGUUGCACGUAACAUGGAACGUGUCACAACUAUGGAACGAUGGCAACGAGAAUGGGAUGAGAGUGUUCACGGUCGGUGGACAUACCGUCUCAUACCCGACGUCAACAGAUGGAUAAGUAGAAGAUUUGGUGGUGUAGAUUUCUUUCUUUCUCAGUUUCUUUCCAGCCAUGGCUUCUACGCCUACCAGCUUCAUCGGAUGCAGUUAACGGGUUCGCCGUUAUGCGAUGCGUGCGAGGAACCUGAGGACGCCGAACACACGAUAUUCCAUUGUGUACGUCAUCGUGAACUGAUCAUCAGACUUCAGCAUCAAGUCGACGAGGAGUUAACGCCGGAGAACAUCAUCGAAGUUAUGUCUGCUAACAGAUAUAACUGGAGCAUGGUUCAUCAAGCAGUACGGACGAUUAUGAUUCGACAACAACAUCGAAGACACGUCAUCGAACGAGGCGAACGACGUGCUUUGCUCGCCAACAUCCAGUUGGCCUUGCAGAGCAGCGACAGUGACGACGAGUAACGACAAGGAUUCAUCGUAGUUCAUCGUAGCUUCAUCGCCGAGGGCUAGACAGUGGCUAAUCACCACUGUUGGAAGCCAUUCGUUGCCUGGGAUGAUGGACAUCCACCGCCCGAGUGACGUCGAUACCCUAACGGGUGAUCCACUCGGGGCCGGUUGAAGGCACGGAGGGGUUUUAGUGAGUAAGAAUCUCACACUACCGGGGUUGAUCACCCAGGUGUCUUAUGCAAGAUUUCCCCUUCGAUAACAAAAAAAAAAAAAAAAAAAAAAGGUAGCCAAAUGCCUCGUCAUCUAAUUAGUGACGCGCAUGAAUGGAUUAACGAGAUUCCCUCUGUCCCUAUCUACUAUCUAGCGAAACCACAGCCAAGGGAACGGGCUUGGAUGCACUAGCGGGGAAAGAAGACCCUGUUGAGCUUGACUCUAGUCUGGCAUUGUAAGGCGAUAUAGGAGGUGCAGCAUAGGUGGGAGGGCUUCCUCGUGGAGCUCGCCUCUGAGAUACCACCACUCUUACUGUUGCCUUACUUACAUGAUUGGGUGGAACAAGCGCGGGCCCCAGGUCCGGAUCGUGCGCGCACCUCCUCCGGGGGCUGUGGCGGCGGUUCGCCUGCGCGCGCCCAAUGCGCCGUGUUUCUCGCUCAGCGUCCAGUGUGUCGCUGGGUGGUGCCGCCGGGGAGACUGCAUCGUAGCAUCGUCGUGUGUAGCGUGUUACCCGCUUGUCCGACCGUGAGCCGUGGCCCGCAAGGGUACAAGCUUGCGUACGUCGGUGCAUUCGUGGUGCACUGCUUCUGCGCGGUCGAUCGUUUAUGAUGUCACGUUUGCCCCCGGUUCCGCGCGCCGCCCGGCUCGAAGACUCCUGGACAGGUCCUUUCGGUCCACGUCAUGGACAGUGCCAGGUGCGGAGUUUGACUGGGGCGGUACAUCUCCAAAACGAUAACGGAGGUGUCCAAAGGUCAGCUCAGUGUGGACAGAAACCACACGCUGAGCAUAAGGACAAAGCUGGCUUGAUCCCAACGUUCAGUACACUUCGGGACAGCGAAAGCUUGGCCUUACGAUCCUUUUGGUUAUAACGAGUUUUUAGCAAGAGGUGUCAGAAAAGUUACCACAGGGAUAACUGGCUUGUGGCCGCCAAGCGUUCAUAGCGACGUGGCUUUUUGAUCCUUCGAUGUCGGCUCUUCCUAUCAUUGUGAAGCAAAAUUCACCAAGCGUAGGAUUGUUCACGCCUUUCAAGGAACGUGAGCUGGGUUUAGACCGUCGUGAGACAGGUUAGUUUUACCCUACUGGUGUGUGCUUAUAGUCGCUAUCUUAACGGAAUUCCUGUGCAGUACGAGAGGAACCACAGGUACGGACCACUGGCUCAAUACUAGUCCGACCGGACUUUGGUAUGACGCUACGUCCGCUGGAUUAUGCCUGAACGCCUCUAAGGUCGUAGCCAAUCCGAGCUGAUAGCGCUUCUCAAACCCAUUAGGUGUUCGAAGCUAGCGGGCCUAACAACCCUCUGAGAUCCGUUGGAGUCUGCGUCUGCAGCCCGGCGUCUCAUCCGCUAUACUAGGCCGCAACGAGUGGAGUUCGCUGCACGUGUUAGUACCGUAACUGGAACGCCGUUGGCUUGAGCUCUGCCCAACGUGGAUAUACCUAGUUUCGACACCUAUCAACCGCCCGCAAACGACGGGACUUCAGGCUGGAGCUGCGAGUUGUAGAGAUGCGUUCGCAUCGAUCCUCUCAGGCGACCCAUGCUUGGUGGUUUG